AGCCUGUGAUGGGGCAGGAUAAGGCCGGCCCCCCUCGGGGCAGCACGUGUGGCACUGAACCUGCUCCUCAUGCUGUGGGGCCACCCAUGUGCCGCUGAACUGACCCUGCCCUGCCCUUUGCACCCAGUGGGGCCUAGGACACGUACUCCUGGGGAGAUUCUGCACCACGACACACAUGCAGAAUUUAUGUCCCCCGCAGAGUUCUUUGCUUCCCCACAGAAAAAAAGACUUUGUGACAGGGAAGCAAAGAGGAGCCACAAGAGCGGUCACAUGACCCUCCCCAGCAGUAUGUCUCGGUCCCCAGGGCAGCCAGCAGAGAGGUUUCUGAAGCUGCUGCCUUCUCAGGUACUCUCUCAAUGGUGCCUGCAUGCUAUAUGGAAUCCUCACCCACUGCCUGGCUGCAGUCCACCCUCGGAGUUUGCUACAGACCUAGUGAUGCAGAGUGCUGAAUGCCCUGGGUUCCCACUGACUAAGCAGAUGCUGGGGAAGCAACACUUGGAGAAUGAGCCUGAGCCAAACAGGCUGGAAGAAUCCAAGCCUUUUCCAAAUACCACUCCACUACAUCAUCAGAUAGGAGAUACCUGCUUCUAGCAAAAGGCCUUCUAGUGUAUGUCACUGUGGACUUGGCUUUGUAUCUUUUUACGGCCAAACAGAAAGGAAACUCCACCUUGGUAAAUCUUUCAGCUCUCUUGGAAAACACCUUUUGGAUCCAAAGGAGACAAAGACGUAGAGCUAAUGAUGGCAGAGUCACAUAGGAAGGUCCAGAAUGGACGGAUACUGGUCAGCGCUGUGACAUUAUGGGGAAGGCAGAGUCUGCAUGCUGGGGAGGGACUAUGCACCCCCAAUUCCCCAUGUCUGAAGGAAAAGAAAAGUCUGUGCAGCUGUAACACAGGUACUCUAGUUUCAUUUGUAAUGAGCUGUAUUGUUACUAUGUAUGCAGAGUCAUAACUAUGACUCCUGAACAUCUAUCAGGGAAAAGGUGAUGUCCCGGCUACAUCCCAAUGAAUACAAAAGGAGCAAGCAGGAUGUGAACGAAAGCCUUCCAUUGACAGGGCGUUUAGAUGAAAUCCUUGAAGUACAAUAUACUUACCAGGCAAGGUUAGAGCUCCAUUUGCCUGUCACUUGCUCAGCCUCUAGCAGAGGGAAGAUGUUUUCUCUCUCCCUGCUUGUUUACAGCUCUCAGAAACCGAGAGCAGUUUAGAUUAGGACAUAGGAUAGACGCUGCUCCCUUCUCCCCUUACGAAACUGCUUUCCACGUAGCUACAGCUAGGAGAGGGCACAUUCUCAGAGAGGGGGUUGGGCUACUGGUGCAGACGCUCUGGGAUGUAUGUAGCAAUCUGAGAUUUGGACAUACGAGGCCUGAGCCAAAGCCCAGUGAAAUCACUGACGAGUUCUGUGGCCUUCGCAGCAGCUUAUGCCCACACAGGCAAUGCCGUUACAUCCCUCGAGUAAAACUAUAUUAUAGAUCAACAUCUUUCACCAUAGAGCUGCCAAUGUAAACAAUGGACAAAAAGUUCUCUCAGUAGAGAAUCUUGGCUCCCAAAUUCUGGCCUCCCUACAGAAUCCCUCUUAUGUCAAUAGGAUAUUGUUGGAGAGAUGAUAGUAAAGAUGUAGCUGAUUGAGCAGUGUGUUGAUAACAGGCAUACCAGACAUCAAGACAAAUAUGAAGAAACAAGCCUGCCAGAUGCCAUGAGAACAGUUUUCCCCAAGGGAUAUUUGUACGCUAUAGUCUACAUCAGGGGUGGGCAAAGCCCGCGGGCCGCAUCCGGCCCACCAGCCAUUUUAAUCCGGCCCUCACGCUCCUGCUGGGGAGCAGGGUCUGGGACUUGCCCCGCUCUGGCGCUCCAGCUGGGGAGCAGGGUUGGGGGCUGCUCCGUGUGGCUCCCGCGAGCAGCGGCGUGUCCCUCCUCCGGCUCCUAUGCGUAGGGGCAGCCAGGGGGCUCCACUCUGCAUGCUGCCUCCGCCCCAAGCGCCGCCCUUGCAGCUCUGGGAACCAGGGCCAAUGGGAGCUGUAGGGGCGGUACCUGCGGAUGGGCAGAGCGCAGCAGAGUCGCCUGGCUGCGCCUCCACGUAGGAGCAACAUGCUGCUGCUUCCGGGAGCCACUUGAGGUAAGCGGUGCCUGGAGCCUGCACCCCUGAGCCACCCCUCCCCACGCCCCAACCCUCUGCCCCAGCCCUGAUCCCCCUCCGAACU